AAUCUUUUAACGAGGAUCUAUUAGAGGGCAAGUCUGGUGCCAGCAGCCGCGGUAAUUCCAGCUCUAAUAGCGUAUAUUAAAGUUGUUGUGGUUAAAACGCCCGUAGUUGGUUUUUCGGUCUCGAAGCUCGGUAGCUCGUAUGGGCUUAACUGAGUCUUCCGGCCUAAAUUUCUUGUACUCUCCCGAUGCUCUUUAUUGAGUGUCUCGAGAUGCUAGAACGUUUACUUUGAAAAAAUUAGAGUGCUAAAAGCAGGCUAUACGCUUGAAUAAAGUGCAUGGAAUAAUGGAAUAGGACUUUAGUUUUAUUUUGUUGGUUUUCGAAAUUAAAGUAAUGAUUAAGAGGAACAGACGGGGGCAUUCGUAUUGUUGCGUUAGAGGUGAAAUUCUUGGAUCGCAGCAAGACGAACAACUGCGAAAGCAUUUGCCAAGAAUGUUUUCAUUAAUCAAGGACGAUAGUUAGAGGUUCGAAGGCGAUCAGAUACCGCCCUAGUUCUAACCGUAAACUAUGCCAACUAGCGAUCCGUCGGUGUUAAAUAUUGACUCGACGGGCAGCUUCCGGGAAACCAAAGUUUAUAGGUUCCGGGGGAAGUAUGGUUGCAAAGCUUAAACUUAAAGGAAUUGACGGAAGGGCACCACCAGGAGUGGAGCCUGCGGCUUAAUUUGACCCAACACGGGGAAACUCACCCGGCCAGGACACAAUAAGGAUUGACAGAUUGAUAGCUCUUUCUUGAUUUUGUGGGUGGUGGUGCAUGGCCGUUCUUAGUUGGUGGAGCGAUUUGUCUGGUUAAUUCCGAUAACGAACGAGACUCUAGCCUAUUAAAUAGACGAUAUAUCUUAUUAGUAUAUCGAGCUUCUUAGAGGGACGAGCAGCUUCUAGCUGCACGAGAUUGAGCAAUAACAGGUCUGUGAUGCCCUUAGAUGUCCGGGGCUGCACGCGCGCUACAAUGAAAAUAGCAGCGCGUUUCGAAAACCUUUUCUGGAAAGUAUUGGUAAACGCGAAAUAUUUUCGUGAUUGGGAUAGGGGAUUGCAAUUAUUGCCCUUGAACGAGGAAUUCCCAGUAAAUUCGAGUCAUCAGCUCGAGUUGAUUACGUCCUUGCCCUUUGUACACACCGCCCGUCGCUACUACCGAUUUGAACAUUGCGUGAGAUCUUCGGACUGACGUCGAAACGAACGUAAAAAUUCGAUUCGCGCGUUGGAAAGAUGCUCGAAUGCAACGUUCUAGAGGAAGUAAAAGUCGUAACAAGGUUUCCGUAGGUGAACCUGCGGAAG
rnacentral:rRNA from 1 species